CAAAAGUUGGUAUAUAAGUUGGUGCCCGUAGCACUACUAUUUAAAUAUAUGAUUUCUGAAAAGGGUGUUGUGUAUACUUUUUAAUUUCUUAUUCAAAACAAAUUGAGGCAAAUCAUGCAUAUCGUAUCAAGUUCUGAAAAUAGUAAUUUGAAACACACUAAGGCGUUUUGUCAAACACAUUGUGCUCGAAAGACAUAAAGCGAGACCCAACAAUGUGAACCCAGGCAGGGGCAAACCAGUGUGGUCAUGGCCCUUCCCCCUCCCUAUUUUUAUAUUCAAAAUAGAGGUAAUUACAUUUUUGGUCAUUGGAGUUAUGAUCGAAUCUUUGAUUUGCACAAAAUCAUCUGCUUUCCAACCAAGAAAUCAAAAAAAUAAGAAUAUGUUAUAAAAUAACCUGGAAUAUAUGCGGAUAUUGAGCUGCACGUAGAAUAGAUAAGACACAGCUUUUAACGAGGUUCAGCUAUGCCUACGUCCUCGGAGAGCAGCAGCAGUAACCUUUCACUAUAAAAAUAAUAUGGUUACAACUUUAGUGUUUACAACAUAUGUGGCUCACUGAAUUUUCUCUCUAGGAGAAUUUCUCUCUGCUUUCUCUUCUCUCUUUUCUUUCUUUCUCUUCCUUUCUCUUUUUCUUCUUUUUUCUUCUUUCCGUUUCUCUUCUUAUUUAUAGGCUGAAAUAAUCACUAUUCAUCACUAUUCAUCACUGUUCACCCGUGACAGACAAACUCUAUCAAAGCCGCCAAAUGAACAGUAAUGAACAGUAAUGAAUAGUGUGUGGGCUCCAUAUCAAGACUUUUUACAACACUCCCUCUUGGAGACCACAUGUCCCUAGAUUGGUUGCCUCAUUAAAACCUUGCUUGGAAAAACCCAGUGGGAAAAUCUAAGCGAAGGAAAAAGAGUACAACGUGCAUAUGUCCUAUGUUAGAGGACUCUUGAAUGCUCCCCCUGAUUUUGCAUGUUCCAACUUGAUUGCUUGCAGAGUUGUCGUAAUCCGAUGCCAUGUACUAACUUUUGGAAUGUAUAUUUCGGCAAUGAUUUAGUGAAGAGAUCUGCCAGGUUAUCACUUGAGCGGAUUUGUCUGACUUUGAUUUCUUGACUCUUCUGGAGCUCAUGUGUAUAGAAAAACUUUGGUGAUAUGUGUUUGGUCCUGUCACCCUUGAUAUAUCCUCCUGUGAUCUGAGCAAUACAAGCUGCAUUGUCCUCAUUCAGAAUUGUUGGAGUGUCUGUUGUUGAGGGUACGACACAUGUGCUUCGGAUGUGAUGGAUUACCGAUCUUAACCAAACGCAUUCACGACUGGCUUCAUGGAGGGCAAGUAUUUCUGAGUGAUUGGAAGAUGUGGCCACUAAUGUUUGUUUUGUUGAGCGCCAUGAGAUCGCAGUUCCUCCACAUGUAAAUACAUACCCAGUCUGUGAUCGUCCUUGAUGUGGAUCAGAGAGAUAUCCUGCAUCAGCAUAACCAAUAAUACUCUGGGCGUUGGUCGAUUUACUGGAAUAGAAUAACCCCCUGUCUGUUGUCCCACGAAGGUAUCGUAGAACAUGUUUGAUGCCGGUCCAGUGUCGCCUUGUUGGAGCAGAACUGUACCUUGCUAACAGAUUUACUGAGAAUGAUAUGUCUGGUCUGGUACAUUGUGCUAGGUACAAUAAAGCUCCUAUUGCACUAAGAUAUGGUACUUCUGGACCAAGGACCAUUUCAUCAUUCCCUUUUGGACGAUAUGGGUCUUUCUUAGUGUCAAGCGAUCGAACGACUAUUAGAGUGCUAAGUGGAUGGGCUUUAUCCAUGCCAAACCGUUUCAAUACUUUCUCAGUAUAAGUUGAUUGAUGCACCAAAAUUCCAUUAGCACUGUGCUCAAUCUGCAAGCCAAGACAAUAUUUUGUCUUUCCAAGAUCCUUCAUCUCAAACUCACGUUUGAGAUAAUCAACAGUCUUUUGAAGCUCUGCAGAAGUUCCAAUUAGAUUCAUGUCGUCGACAUAUACUGCCACUAUCGCAAAUCCAGACUUUGAUUUCUUAAUAAACACACAUGGGCAAACAGGAUCAUUUGUGUAUCCUUCCUUCAGUAAAUACUUACUGAGACGAUUGUACCACAUUCGUCCAGAUUGUUUUAGCCCAUAUAAUGAUCUUCUCAAUUUAACCGAGAACAUGCCCCGUGGUUUGUUUCUGGCAGCUUCAGGCAACCUGAAUCCUUCUGGAACUUUCAUGUAUAUAUCUGUAUCCAAUUCUCCAUACAAAUAUGCGGUAAUGACAUCCAUGAGUCUCAUUUCAAGUUUUUCUGAAACCGCCAAACUUAUUAGGUAACGGAAUGUAAUUGUGUCCAUUACUGGAGAGUACGUUUCCACAUAAUCAAUUCCAGGCCUUUGUGAAAAACCUUGCGCAACGAGUCGCGCUUUAUACCUUGAGAUCUCAUUUUUCUCAUUGCGCUUUCUUGUAAAUACCCACUUGUAACCUACAGGGUUCACAUUGGGUGGAGUUGGACUAAUAUGUCCAAAAACACUUCUCUUUUCCAAAGAAUUUAAUUCUGCCUGGAUUGCAUCCUUCCACUUGGGCCAAUCUUGCCUCUGUGUACAUUCAUUAAUAGAGCGCGGUUCAAUAUCAUCAUCUUUUAUGAUUUCAGCAGCCACUGAGAAUGCAAAUAUAUCAUCGAUGAUCAUCUCAUUUCUACUCCACAAUUCAUUAGUGGACGUAUAAUUUAUGGAGAUUUCUUGACUUUCAGGUACAGUUGCCACUCCAGGGGCACUUGUUUCACCAAUGACGUUUUCCUUGUCAAGAAGUACCUGUCCCUCUUUGGGGGCAUUUGAAUUAUGAAUUGUGGGCUCUCUAUUUAUUUCAUUUGGAUUCAUUUUGUCCAUCAACUUCCUCUUUCGAGGAACUGAAUCCUUUGAACCUAGUGGUCUGCCACGUUUUAGGUGUGCAGCAGAUGAACCAUUUGCUGGCACAUUGCUUUGUCCAUUAUGGACAUCAAUCCGUGCGGGUGCAUUUGCAGCUGGGAUAUGAGAUUUUGUCACCUUUGCUGCAUCAUUAAAUGCAUCUGGCAUCUGAUUUGCAAUACUUUGGAGGUGAACGAUCCUUCUCACUUCGUUUUCGCGUUGAGCAGUAUGAGGAUCGAGAUGAGACAAUGUGGAUACAUUCCAGGAUAAUUCAUGUCGUUUUUCAGGAAUGAGUUUGCCUUGUUCUUUAGACACAGAUUUUUCUCCACCUAAAGGUGGGAAGAUUGUCUCAUUAAAAUCACAAUCCGCAAAUCGUGCGGUAAAAAUAUCACCCGUCAGGGGUUCCAAGUAUCUGAUGAUAGAUGGUGAAUCAACACCAACAUAAAUUCCCAAUCUGCGUUGAGGGCCCAUCUUAGUACGUUGCGAUGGUGCAAUAGGCACAUAUACCGCACACCCAAAAAUUCUUAAAUGUGAAAUGUUUGGUUGAUUUCCCAAUACGAGUUGUAUUGGAGAACCUUGAUUAUUGGCGACUGGCCUCAAUCGCACAAGCGAUGCUGCAUGUAAAAUGGCAUAUCCCCAAGCAGAAACUGGCAACUUUGUUUUCAUUAGCAAAGUGCGUGCUAUCAAUUGAAGGCGUUUAAUUAAAGCUUCUGCCAAGCCAUUUUGAGUAUGCACAUGGGGAACAGGAUGUUCAAUAUCAAUGCCUAAUGACAUGCAGUAGUCAUCAAAAGUCUGAGAUGUAAAUUCACCAGCAUUAUCGAGUCUGAUUGACUUAAUGGGAUAAUCUGGGAAUUGGGCUCGUAAUUUAAUUAUCUGAGCCAAAAGCCUAGCAAAUGCCAUAUUCCGAGUAGAUAAAAGACAAACAUGUGACCAUCGGGUAGAUGCGUCCACCAAGACCAUAAAGUACCGAAAUGGUCCACAUGGGGGAUGAAUGGGUCCACAAAUGUCCCCUUGAAUUCUCUGCAAACAUGAUGGAGACUCAACAUCAACCUUUGGUUGUGAUGGUCUGAUCACCAACUUCCCUUGUGAACAAGCUUGGCAAAAGAUGUCGCUUGAUAACAUAAUGUGUUUAGUCAACAAGGGAUGUCCUUUAGAGUUGGUGAUGAUCCUGCGCAUCAUGGUGGAUCCAGGAUGACCCAAUCUGUCAUGCCAAAGCUUAAAAGCAUUUGAGUCAGUAGACUCUUUGGUCCAUGACACUAUGUGCCUCAAUUGUCCGUAUGGUUGUGUAAUACAACCCUGAUGAGAGCUCACAAAGCUUUUCCAGUAUACGCUUUUGGGUAUCACUGGAGGUAAUACAAAGAUAUUCCAUGUUUUCCUCUUUCUUUGUUUCAACAUGGUAGCCAUUCAAACGUAUAUCUUUGAAACUCAACAGAUUCCUUCUGGAGUUAGAUGAAUACAAAGCAUCUGGAAUGGACAAUAUUGUUCCAUUCGGUAACAUAAUUUGGGCUAUUCCUGAACCUUCGAUCAGAUCUGCAGGACCUGAUAUGGUUGUUACCUUUGCUUUUGUAAGCAUUAAUUUUGAGAAAUACUUCCGAUCUUGAAAGAUCGUAUGAGUAGUUGCGCUGUCUGCGAGACAAAUAUCUCUGCCAUAGCCUUUGUUUUGAGGGCAUCCAUAAUUUACAUCCAUGCCACCAAAUAAGUAAAAUGAGCUGGAAUAUAUAAAGAAGACAACAUUUCCACUUUUAUUUAAACAACACUUCAGCUAAUACAAAUAGUACAUUAAGGAAUUUAAUCUAAUUCGGAUUUAAUAAAGAAGACAACAUUACCACUUUUAUUGGAUUGAAAUUUAAACAACACUUCAGCUAAUACAAAUAGUACAUUAAGGAAUUUAAUCUAAUUCGGACUCAUAACCUUCAUUCCCUUUUUCAGUAACAAAAUCAGAAACAUCUAGAUGCAUCUUGUUUAGCUUACGUGAUAUUUCUGAUGAGCCAUCUGUGGCUGGCGGAGCAUGAUCAAUGUAAUUUAUCUCCACUUUCCUGUUCUUAAGUGAAGCUUGAUAGAGAUCCGCCAAAUGCCUGGGCGUACGACAUGCGCGCAUCCAAUGUCCCCUUGCACCACAUCUGUGACAAGGGCUUUCAACAUUUCUAGGCACAUGGCUCAUCUGUGCCUUUCCCUUAUUACGGGAUGCAUUUUUGCCAUUCAUGGAUGGACCGCUCCUUGGACCUAUGCCCUCUGAACGAGCACCAUGAUUUUUUCUACUUCCUUGCCAGUGACCACGCUUGCCCCCUCGCCCACGUCUGUGGAUACUGCCACGAGAUGAAGUGGCAUUCACUUCCUGAGAUGCAGCAUUUAUUUCAGGAAGUGGUGCUGAGCCCGAUGGGCGAGAUUGGUGAUUCUUUAAUAAGAGCUCAUUAUUCUGCUCAGCUAACAAGAGGCAAGAUACAAGUUCCGAGUACUUCUUGAAACUGCUAUGUUUGUAUUGCUGUUGAAGGAGGACAUUUGAAGCAUGAAAAGUGCUCAGAGUUUUUUCGAGCAUAUCCUCCUCAGAUAUAUUUUCCCCACAUAGCCUCAUUAAUGAGGUAAUUCUGUGCAUAGCAGAGUUAUACUCGGACACUGACUUGAAAUCUUGAAAUCUCAAGUGGGUCCAUUCGUAUCUAGCUCUUGGGAGAGUCAUCGUCUUCUGGUGAUCGUAUCUUUCACCUAUAGCUUUCCACAGAACCAACGGUUCAUCAACCACCACAUAUUCGCUCUUCAGCGCUUCAUGGAUGUGGCGGCGAAGAAAAAUCAUGGCCUUCGCAUUCUCUUCAGGCGAAGCAUCAUUCUCAUCUACAAUUGUUUGUCCGAGGCCAUUGGCUCGUAGAUGAAUUUUGGCAUCCAGGACCCAUGAUAAAUAGUUGUCCCCGGAAAGGUCCAAGGCAGCAAACUCUAGUUUUGCCAAAUUUGCCAUCCAAAACUUUAGGCUCGAGAUCUGGAAUAUUAAGCCACUUAUUAAUAGGAAUUUCAGGUCCUCAUUAUUCAGGUAUAUUAAUUGAAUAUUAAGCCACUUAUUAAUCGGAAUUUCAGGUCCUCAUUAUUCAGGUAUAUUAAUUGAAUAUUAAGCCACUUAUUAAUAUGAAUUUCAGGUCCUCAUUAUUCAGGUAUAUUAAUUGAAGAUAAAAGUAAAGUGUUAUGAAUUUGCUGGUAUGGACAUAAACCCGCACCAUACUUUAAAUAAAAUUAAAUGUGGGGUUAAAACCACCACCGAAUAAAAUAAGAAAAGUUAGUAUUAGUAACGGUCUCCCACUGAUAAUAUGUUUAGUAUUACCAAGGGUCCAUUUUUGUUAAUGGUUAGUAAAUGUGCGGUAAAGUAAAUGUGCGGUAAAGUAAAUGUGCUUGUAUGGGCACUAAUUCUGCUCCAUUCAUUUAAAUAAAAGUAAAGGCGUGGACGAUAAACCCGCAGCACCCUUUAAAUAAAUAUUGCCGUAUGGGUAAUAAGCCUACACCAUACCAUAAAUAAAAUUAAAUGUGGGGUUAAAACCACCACCGAAUAAAAAAAAAAAAUUAGUAUUAGUAACGGUCUCCCACUGAUAAUAUGUUUAGUAUUACCAAGGGUCCAUUUUUGUUAAUGGUUAGUAAAAGAGAAGCAGAUAGAUAUAGUAUAUUAUAUAGUGUUGAGUUGGAAAAAUUUCAUAAAUAAAAGGAGAGACUAUCGUGCUGAUAACGUGUUAUAAAAUAACCUGGAAUAUAUGCGGAUAUUGAGCUGCACGUAGAAUAGAUAAGACACAGCUUUUAACGAGGUUCGGCUAUGCCUACGUCCUCGGAGAGCAGCAGCAGUAACCUUUCACUAUAAAAAUAAUAUGGUUACAACUUUAGUGUUUACAACAUAUGUGGCUCACUGAAUUUUCUCUCUAGGAGAAUUUCUCUCUGCUUUCUCUUCUCUCUUUUCUUUCUUUCUCUUCCUUUCUCUUUUUCUUCUUUUUUCUUCUUUCCGUUUCUCUUCUUAUUUAUAGGCUGAAAUAAUCACUAUUCAUCACUAUUCAUCACUGUUCACCCGUGACAGACAAACUCUAUCAAAGCCGCCAAAUGAACAGUAAUGAACAGUAAUGAACAGUAAUGAAUAGUUGUGUGGGCUCCAUAUCAAGACUUUUUACAACAGAAUACAAUAUGUACACAUAUUAUCAGACAACAAAAGAAGAAAUAGUAUUUCAAUAUUAAUUGUAAGUAGGGAUGAUAAAAGACUGAAAGUAGGUUGGUGGGUAAAGCUAAACUUGAAUUCAAGAUUAUGGAGCUCUUUGUUCGGAAUUUCCUCAGCAUAUAUCUUCACGUCCAAUCCAUGAUUAUAGAGGAUUCCUCCAACCCAUAAAUCAACAUGAAUACACAAGAGCAGAGGCCACAUAAAU
rnacentral:lncRNA from 1 species